rnacentral:rRNA from 1 species
GUUGAUAAGGUUAAGUGAAUAAGGGCGCACGGUGGAUGCCUUGGCACUAGGAGCCGAUGAAGGACGGGACUAACACCGAUAUGCUUUGGGGAACUGUAAGUAAGCUAUGAUCC